rnacentral:rRNA from 1 species
GACGAACGCUGGCGGCGUGCCUAAUACAUGCAAGUCGAACGCAGGGGGGACGGGUGAGUAACACGUGGGUAACCUCCCAUCAGAGGGGAAAACACUUGGAAACAGGUGCUAAACCGAUACUGAUGGAUGGACCGGCGGGGCAUUAGCUAGUUGGUGAGGUAACGGCUCACCAAGGCAACGAUGCAUAGCCGACCUGAGAGGGUGAUCAGCCACACUGGGACUGAGACACGGCCCAGACUCCUACGGGAGGCAGCAGUGGGGAAUAUUCGGCAAUGGACGAAAGCCUGACCGAGCAAUGCCGCGUGAGUGAAGAAGGCUUUCGGAUUGUAAAGCACUGUUGUUAGAGAAGCGUUAUCUAACCAGAAAGCCACGGCUAACUCCGUGCCAGCAGCCGCGGUAAUAC